AAGAAGUCGAUCUCCAAUCCCCCUAUCUUUCUUGCUGAUGGCCCAGCUGGAUCAGGAGUAAUGUGAGGGAAGGAAACCAAGACCAAAAAAAAAGAGAAGGGAUGAAAGAUAAGAGUGGCUUCAGACGUGUAUGAACCCAACCAAAUCCCUCCUCUCUCUUUCUCUCCACCCAAAACAAAACUACUGUCUCCAACUUCCCAAUUUGCCCCUCUGCAGGCCAGGAAACUCUCCACCCCCCUUCCAUCAAGGGGAAAGACUCGUAGCCAGCUCCUAUUCCCAUUUUAUAUGGGGCCUUUGCUUCCUUUUGGUCA
rnacentral:lncRNA from 1 species